UACAGAGGUCUCAAGCGUUGUUCGGAUUCAUUGGGCGUAAAGGGUGUGUAGGUGGCGCCGUAAGUCGGGUGUGAAAUUUCGGAGCUUAACUCCGAAACUGCAUUCGAUACUGCGGUGCUUGAGGACUGGAGAGGAGACUGGAAUUUACGGUGUAGCGGUGAAAUGCGUAGAUAUCGUAAGGAAGACCAGUGGCGAAGGCGGGUCUCUGGACAGUAACUGACGCUGAGGAGCGAAAGCGUGGGGAGCGAACGGG
rnacentral:rRNA from 1 species